GAUGAACGCUGGCGGCGUGCUUAACACAUGCAAGUCGAACGGAAAGGCUCCUGCUUGCAGGGGUACUCGAGUGGCGAACGGGUGAGUAACACGUGGGUGAUCUGCCCUGCACUUCGGGAUAAGCCUGGGAAACUGGGUCUAAUACCGGAUAGGACGAUGGUUUGGAUGCCAUUGUGGAAAGUUUUUCGGUGUGGGCUGAGCUCGCGGCCUAUCAGCUUGUUGGUGGGGUAAUGGCCUACCAAGGCGUCGACGGGUAGCCGGCCUGAGAGGGUGUACGGCCACAUUGGGAUUGAGAUACGGCCCAGACUCCUACGGGAGGCAGCAGUGGGGAAUAUUGCACAAUGGGCGCAAGCCUGAUGCAGCGACGCCGCGUGGGGGAUGACGGCCUUCGGGUUGUAAACUCCUUUCGCUAGGGACGAAGCGCAAGUGACGGUACCUGGAGAAGAAGCACCGGCUAACUACGUG
rnacentral:rRNA from 1 species